AACGAACGCUGGCGGCAGGCCUAACACAUGCAAGUCGAACGCCGUAGCAAUACGGAGUGGCAGACGGGUGAGUAACACGUGGGAACGUACCUUUCGGUUCGGAAUAACUCAGGGAAACUUGAGCUAAUACCGGAUACGUGCGAGAGCAGAAAGAUUUAUCGCCGAAAGAUCGGCCCGCGUCCGAUUAGCUAGUUGGUGAGGUAAUGGCUCACCAAGGCGACGAUCGGUAGCUGGUCUGAGAGGAUGAUCAGCCACACUGGAACUGAGACACGGUCCAGACUCCUACGGGAGGCAGCAGUAGGGAAUAUUGGACAAUGGGGGCAACCCUGAUCCAGCCAUGCCGCGUGAGUGAAGAAGGCCCUCGGGUUGUAAAGCUCUUUUGUCCGGAAAGAAAGCAUUCGGUUAAUACCCGGGUGUUCUGACGGUACCGGAAGAAUAAGCACCGGCUAACUUCGUGCCAGCAGCCGCGGUAAGGAGCUGUCGU
rnacentral:rRNA from 1 species